rnacentral:lncRNA from 1 species
GGUGUUUAUAGUUUAAGAGGGUUAGAGUCCACACACAAAAUGGCGGAGAGCAUGGCAGCAGAUAGGCAGGCUUGUUGUUGGAGCGGUAGCUAAGAUCCCACAUCUUGAGACUCAACCGUGAAACAGAGAAAUUCUGUGAAUGACUCGAACUUUUGAAAUAUUAAAGCUCAUUCUCAGUAACACAGCUCUUCCCACAAGGCAACACUUCCUCCAACAAGACCACGCCUCCUCCGACAAAGCCACACCCCUCCCACAAGAUCACACCACACAACAAGGCCACACCCCCUCUCAUAAGGCCACACCUCUUCCCACAAGAUCACACCCCACACACAAGGCCACACUCCUCCCACAAGAGCACACCCUACACGAGGCCACACCUCCUGCCAUACCUUCUCUCACAUGCCACACCUUCCCAAAGUUUCACCAACUGGGGACCAAGUAGUCAACAUAGUAGUCCUAUGGGAGCCAUGCUCAUUCAAACUAACACAGCUAGAGAUUUGGGGAAAUUGGGUUUGCAAAAGUGACAGGGGAGGGACUCGGGGGAAGGGUCUACAGCAGGACAGGUCUAGAAUCAGGUUGUUGUAUGCAGAAACCAGAGCGGAAGAGGAGCGAGUCCCCUCUUG